UGUUCCGAUACAGACUUCCACUCUUUUCUGUAAUUCUGGCUGUACGAUGUUGAUUAAUGUUGCGCGUUCUGUUCAAGAUCAAACAUUCGUGACCAACUAUAUUCAUUGGGUUUGGCUCGUCGAUCUCGUACUACUACUGCUGCAGUCAGCCAACAAUGAGUUGCAUGCCUGUGAAACCAUGAAGAGGAGCUUGGAUUGGGCAAGGGGGAGGCUGAUAAAACAGCAGAGAAGACCUGAUUAAUCAAGUAUCAAUUCAUUCUGGUGAUUCUCACCUGGUUGGCAUGCACAACACUGCAAGACACUUCAAUCAGAAUCUCUUAAUGUUUGAGGUCAGGAAAAACCUCUUCAGCCACCGCUGGUUGGCAUUUUUGACUGCAGUGUCUGUGUCGGUGUACCAAGAAAAAUUCACUGGACCAAUUCCAGUUUGCCUGUUGUCCCAACAAAUUUGUCAAUUAUGCAUUUUACAUACGUCAGAUUGCGUUUUCUUUGAACACCAUCCUGACCCACAAACUGGUUAGACUCAGGCCUCUGUGUGAAAACCCUGUAAUAACAAAUUAGAUUUUUUACAUUAUCACAACAAUGUGUAUCCCCAGAAUGGACCCAACACCUAAACAUGCUGACGAUACUACCAUUGUACACCUUAUCACCAGUGAUCAUGAGCACAUGGAGGAGCUGUGGGACCUGACAUAAUGGUGAUAGGUCAACAGCCUCACCGUAAGCAAAACAAAGUAGAUGGUGAGACUUAAUGACCAUUCUCCCACCAGUGCUUCUCCACUACCCUCAUCAACUUGCUGCACCACAACCUAUGUGAAAAUUACAUGUAAAUGAAAUGUUGUCCAUAUUUACUGUAAGAUUUAUGGUAACAUUGCACAUAUUGUAACAUUAUAGUCCUUUUUCAUACAUGACUUAACUGCUUUGCAUAAUGCUCAGUUUACCGACUAAGAAAUCGUACAUUAAUUAAAAUAAUAAAGCUGCAUUAUGUAUUACUGUGUCCAACUGAUUCUGAUUGGUUGUAUAAAAAACUUAAAAAAACU